UUUUUUUUUUAUUCUGGGGAAACUUCUAUUUUUUUUCCAGACCAACUGACUAUGGGAUAUGAAAGAAAGUGAGGCAUCAAGGAUAAAGCCAGUAUUUGACCCAAACAAUGUACAGGAUGUUUGUUUUCAGUGUACUUGAGGAAGGCUGUGGCAGGGGAGAAGGCUUAGGGGAGAAGACUGAGAAUUUUUUUUUCUUUUUUUUGAGACAGGGUCUCACUCUGCUGCUCAGGCUGGAGUGCAGUGGUGCCAUCCUAGCUCACCAUAGCCUCAACCUCCCAGACUCAAAGAAUCUUCCCACUUCUGCCUCCUGAGUAGCCAGGAUUAUAGGCAGGUGCCACCAUGUCUGGCUAAUUUUUUGAUUUCCAGUAGAAAUGAGAUCUCACUAUGUUGCCUGGGCUGGUCUCAAAUUGCGCUCAAAUGAUCCUCCCACCUUAGCCUCCCAAAGUGCUGUGAUUAUAGGCAUGAACCACCUCACCCCGUCAAAGAUUAAUUCUGAUCAAUGCUAAGGACUUUCCAUUCUUUACAACUUUAACUUUGUUUUGGUUGUUUCAAGAGCUACCUUUGAUUUGUUUUGUUUUGAGAUGGAGUCUCACUCGGUCGUCCAGGCUGGAGGGCAGUGGUGCAAUCUCACUGCAACCUCUGACCCCCGAGUUCAAGGAAUUCUCCUGUCUCAGCCUCCCGAGUAGCUGGGAUUACAGGCGCCUAUCACCACCCCCGGCUAAUUUUUAUAUUUUCAGUAGAGACGGGGUUUCACCAUGCUGGCCAGGCUGGUCUCGAACUCCUGAACUCGGGUGAUUUGUCCACCUCGGCCUCCCAAAGUGCUAGGAUUACAGGCAUGAGCCACUGGGCCCGCCGUUUUCAUUAAUUUUCAUUUGAAAACAUCCUGACACCUAACCAAAGCCUCAUGACUUUGGGGGCUGAGAGGAUAGGGUGGUGAUGGAUGUAUAGUUGGCAGGGUGUGGUGGUGCACACCUGUAUUCCCAGCUGCAGGAAGAUUGCUUGAGCCCAGGAGGUCGAAGCUGCAGCAAGCCAUGAGUGUGUCACUGUACUCCAGACCGGGCGACAGAAUGAAACCCUGUCUCUUAAAAAAAAAAAAAAAAAGUACUGUAGGAGGAUUAUCUUUACCCAAAGAGAGGUCCGGCUUUGCCUUCAGCUGCUGGGAGGUGAUCUCUAGGCCCCUUAAUGUCCUGUCUGAUAGAAGUGCCUGUGUUUGCCUACGGCCUUUGGCCAUCAGAUAGUCUAACAAUGUGAUCUGUAAUGAAGGCUUUGGAACACCUGUAUCCGUUCCAACCUCCAGAUGAGCUGGAUACACAAGAGUUAGCUCAGGAGGGACUGGGGAUGAAAGGUCAGCCACACAGGCAGUAUGGGAUCAAGCCCCACUAAAAAACGCUGGACACUGGCUGGCAGUGGUUUACGCCUGUAAUCCCAGCACUUCGGGAGGCUAAGGCAGGCGGAUCACCAGAGGUCAGGAGUUUGAGAUCAGCCUGGCCAACAAGGUGAAACCCUGUCUCUACCAAAAAUACAAAAUCAGCCGGGCAUGGUGCAUGCCUGUAAUCCCAGCUACUUGUACUCUGGAGGCUGAGGCGGGAGAAUCGCUUGAGCCCUGGAGGCGGAGUUUGCAGUGAGUUGAGAUCACGCACAGCACUCCAGCCUGGGCGAUGAGAGCGAGACUCCAUCUCAAAAACAACAACAAAAACAAAACCCCAAAAAAUGCUGGACACC
ensembl:lncRNA